UACGAAGGGGGCUAGCGUUGCUCGGAAUCACUGGGCGUAAAGGGCGCGUAGGCGGCGCUUUAAGUCGGGGGUGAAAGCCUGUGGCUCAACCACAGAAUGGCCUUCGAUACUGGGACGCUUGAGUAUGGUAGAGGUUGGUGGAACUGCGAGUGUAGAGGUGAAAUUCGUAGAUAUUCGCAAGAACACCGGUGGCGAAGGCGGCCAACUGGACAAUUACUGACGCUGAGGCGCGAAAGCGUGGGGAGCAAACAGG
rnacentral:rRNA from 1 species